AAUGGUAGAGGGCAUAAGAAAACUGUGUGAGAGUUUAGAAAAGCUGAUGACCAUUAUAAUGGUCUCUUCUCUUGUACAAUGAAGGGAGCAAAGACCUUGGAAGGCAUUGCGGGAUUGUAAUUCCAUGUGUUGGACCAUCAUCGUGGUAGAAAUGAAGAUUGCCAGACCGCCUUUUGCCCUGCCAUUUUUUUUGUCUGAAGGCUGGGCAGGUAGAUGCUCCCAUCCUAAUUCAUUUUGAUAUAAAUUAAGACAGAGAUCCGAACAUAUUUACUUGGAAGCAAGUUCCACUGAAAUUGGAAUUACUGUACAAAUAGAGAUGUGCAGGGCAUCCUUGAGAUUAAAGAUCCGGAAGAAUACAAGAGUCUUCACCUGGCUUUAAAGAUUAAAAACAGCACUUUGAAUGCCAAAGGAUUAGCAUGAUGUGGUCAUAUUUACAGGUGCCCACUGAUAACCUAUCUGCCCUUUUUUGGACUGGCUGAAGUUUCAAGACCAUUUUAUUUACUAUUUAUUUACUUUACAAUAAAUAAACCAUGAAAACCAUUGAAGAAGUGUACAAGAUAACAAGAUAAACAUGAGAUGUAAUACAGAAAAUAACAAGUUCUUAAAAUAA